GUGAGCCUACGGGACGCAGCAGUAGGGAAUCUUCCACAAUGGGCGAAAGCCUGAUGGAGCAACGCCGCGUGGGUGAAGAAGGUCUUCGGAUCGUAAAACCCUGUUGUUAGAGAAGAAAGUGCGUGAGAGUAACUGUUCGCAUUUCGACGGUAUCUAACCAGAAAGCCACGGCUAACUACGUGCCUGCAGCCGCGGUAAUACGUAGGUGGCAAGCGUUAUCCGGAUUUAUUGGGCGUAAAGGGAACGCAGGCGGUCUUUUAAGUCUGAUGUGAAAGCCUUCGGCUUAACCGGAGU
rnacentral:rRNA from 1 species